GUACACUCCUGCGGGAGGCAGCAGUGGGGAAUUUUGGACAAUGGGCGAAAGCCUGAUCCAGCAAUGCCGCGUGAGUGAAGAAGGCCUUCGGGUUGUAAAGCUCUUUUGUCAGGGAAGAAACGGUGAGAGCUAAUAUCUCUUGCUAAUGACGGUACCUGAAGAAUAAGCACCGGCUAACUACGUGCCAGCAGCCGCGGUAAUACGUAGGGUGCAAGCGUUAAUCGGAAUUACUGGGCGUAAAGCGUGCGCAGGCGGUUUUGUAAGUCUGAUGUGAAAUCCCCGGGCUCAACCUGGGAAUUGCAUUGGAGACUGCAAGGCUAGAAUCUGGCAGAGGGGGGUAGAAUUCCACGUGUAGCAGUGAAAUGCGUAGAUAUGUGGAGGAACACCGAUGGCGAAGGCAGCCCCCUGGGUCAAGAUUGACGCUCAUGCACGAAAGCGUGGGAGCAAACAGGAUUAGAUACCCUAGUAGUCCCAUG
rnacentral:rRNA from 1 species